AUGGACGGACGGGCGGAUGGACGGACGGAGGUUCGGACGGGACCCCCGCGGCGGGGGUCGCGCGUGCCUGGGCCCGGGCGGUGUGGGGCCCGGUUUGCGGGGAGGCCUGCCAAGGGUGCUGAGGCCGGCCGGCGUCCCGGGCGUCGCGGGACCGCCCUCGUGCUGGUGGCGGUGGGAUCCCGUGCGCGUUUACCCGGUGGCCCGGCUCGCGCCUUCGUUGGCGCGCCCUUCCCGGGACCGGCCCUUCCCCACGCGCUCUUCCGGCCCUCGCCCGCUGUGCGCCUCCUCCCCGUCGCCGCCGACCCGCCCCCCCCGUCCCCCCCGCCUGCCCGCGUCCCCCGACCGCACGGUCGCGGGCGCGCCGCGCGUGCCGCGCCCCUAACUCCGCCCUCCGUGGACCGAAACCGGCCUCGCCGCUGUUGGGUGUCUUGCCCCCCCCUUGGCCGCCGUGGCUCGGGGGGGGCGUCCCCGGGCGAAGUGCUCUCGGUCCUCCGAGGAAGGGGAGGAGGGAGGCGCGCGGGGGGUGUUGGGGCGGGGCGUCGUUGCGCGUGUGCGGGAGAGCGUUCUCGGGAGAACCGGUCGCGUGAACGGUGGCGGUUGGGGCCCCCGAGCCCCGCGAGGUUGCUUGGGGCCCGCCGUGGGGGGCCGGGCCGGCGUCCUCGGGUGCCGCGGGACCGCCCUUGCGCUGGAGGCCUCGGGCGGUGGGACCCCGCGUGCGCCCCUGGGCGCCCGACCUCGGCCUCCCGGGUGCCUUCUGAGGCUUCCCGAAAGCCCCUCGCGGUGGCCCGCGGUCCUCUCCUCCACCGCUCCCGCUCGCCGUUCUCCGGCGCCUGGCUGGCCCCUGGCCGCCGGGGCGUCUCCCGUCCGCGGCCUUUCCCGAAAGUCCGCCCCCGUCCGUCGUCCGUCUUGCCGACCCGGUGCCGCGCUCCCCGGGGCGCCCGGCGCUUCCCGGGCCCGCUGCGGCCUUCCCGCCCGCGUCCGCCGCUCGCCCCCGCCCCCCGGCGGUGGCGUUGUGUGGUGACGAGGGGCCGCCGUCGUCUCCCGCCGCCCCCCACCCCCGCCGGCCGCGUCCCCGCCCUGGCGCGCGCGUGCCCCGGGCGUGGGUCGGGUCCCCGGCGGCCGCUCGCCGUUGGCCGUCCGCGGCCCCGCGCGCGUCUCCCCGGUGGCGGGGAGGGGCGCGCGCGCGCGCGCGCCCGCGCGGUCUCUGGCUCACCCGCGCUCCUACCUGGUUGAUCCUGCCAGUAGCAUAUGCUUGUCUCAAAGAUUAAGCCAUGCAUGUCUAAGUACGCACGGCCGGUACAGUGAAACUGCGAAUGGCUCAUUAAAUCAGUUAUGGUUCCUUUGGUCGCUCGCUCCUCUCCUACUUGGAUAACUGUGGUAAUUCUAGAGCUAAUACAUGCCGACGGGCGCUGACCCCCCUCGCGGGGGGGAUGCGUGCAUUUAUCAGAUCAAAACCAACCCGGUCAGCCUCCCUCCGGCCCCGGCCGGGGGGCGGGCGCCGGCGGCUUUGGUGACUCUAGAUAACCUCGGGCCGAUCGCACGCCCCCCGUGGCGGCGACGACCCAUUCGAACGUCUGCCCUAUCAACUUUCGAUGGUAGUCGCCGUGCCUACCAUGGUGACCACGGGUGACGGGGAAUCAGGGUUCGAUUCCGGAGAGGGAGCCUGAGAAACGGCUACCACAUCCAAGGAAGGCAGCAGGCGCGCAAAUUACCCACUCCCGACCCGGGGAGGUAGUGACGAAAAAUAACAAUACAGGACUCUUUCGAGGCCCUGUAAUUGGAAUGAGUCCACUUUAAAUCCUUUAACGAGGAUCCAUUGGAGGGCAAGUCUGGUGCCAGCAGCCGCGGUAAUUCCAGCUCCAAUAGCGUAUAUUAAAGUUGCUGCAGUUAAAAAGCUCGUAGUUGGAUCUUGGGAGCGGGCGGGCGGUCCGCCGCGAGGCGAGCCACCGCCCGUCCCCGCCCCUUGCCUCUCGGCGCCCCCUCGAUGCUCUUAGCUGAGUGUCCCGCGGGGCCCGAAGCGUUUACUUUGAAAAAAUUAGAGUGUUCAAAGCAGGCCCGAGCCGCCUGGAUACCGCAGCUAGGAAUAAUGGAAUAGGACCGCGGUUCUAUUUUGUUGGUUUUCGGAACUGAGGCCAUGAUUAAGAGGGACGGCCGGGGGCAUUCGUAUUGCGCCGCUAGAGGUGAAAUUCUUGGAACGGCGCAAGACGGACCAGAGCGAAAGCAUUUGCCAAGA
rnacentral:lncRNA from 12 species